UCAGCAGCCCAACACCAUAGCCACUGAGCAACCACGGCGGGUGCGCGGUGUUUAAUUUCAGGCAAUUAUUAAAAAGCGGAGCCCACCGAAGUGUUGAGGCGAACGGCGAUGAUGAAAUCUGGACCGAGACCGCCCGGCCGUGUACAGCGGACGCAUUUCGACGGGGGCGAAAUGCAAAACACCCGUUUAUUUAAAUUUAGGUGCAUUUUAAAGGAUCCCAGGUGGUCAAAAUUAAUCCUGAGUCCCCCACUACGGCGUGCCUCAUAAUCGUAUCGCGGUUCUGGCUCUUAAGAUCCCAGAUU